GACGAACGCUGGCGGCGUGCUUAACACAUGCAAGUAGAACGCAGUUGCGAACGGGUGAGUAACGCGUAGGUAACUGCCUCAUAGCGGGGGAUAACUAUUGGAAACGAUAGCUAAUACCGCAUACUGUGAGAUGGACCUGCGUUGUAUUAGCUAGUUGGUGAGGUAAAGGCUCACCAAGGCGACGAUACAUAGCCGACCUGGGAGGGAGAUCGGCCAAACCUGGACUGGGACACGGCCCAAGAUCCUGCGGGGAGCAACAGUAGGGGAUCUUCGGAAAUGGACGGAAGUCUGACCGAGCAACGCCGCGUGAGUUGAGGAGGUUUUCGGGUCGUAAAGCUAUGUUGUUAGAGAAACGGUAACUAACCAGAAAGGGACGGCUAACUACGUGCCAGCAGCCGCGGUAAUUC
rnacentral:rRNA from 1 species